UUGUAAGGGGGGUGGAAGAUGAUGUCUAGAGGCUUUUUGCCUCUAACUAGCGUAACAGGAGUUAAGGCUGCUGGAAACCAAUUACUGGAGAUGUGUACAUUCACUGCACACCUGAAAGACAACAGAUAUUAAUCCUUACUAUCAGAUUUUUAAGAUAUCAAAGUAAUUUAACUACUGUUCAGAAUAACAUCUUAUGUAAAGCAAAUUCAUGGCAUGCAAUUCACCUGGGAGAGUUUUGGGGGUUUUUGCCAUGUGCUUUCAAAUAAUGCCUUAGGUUUAAAACCUUCUAAUUUUUUUUUUCCUAUUAUGCCUACUUUGCAAUAAUUUUUAACUUUUUUUAAAGCAAGUUUAAAAAAAAGGUAAUAUAUAGAAAAAAAGUUGUGGUAUGUUUAUUUCCUUUGAGGUAUGAGACACAGAAAUCAAAACAUUCUUCAAUGUUACCUCAAACCUUAUGUAUUUAGCAUGUGCUCCUGCUACAGUGGAAGAAAGGAAAAGGAAAAAAAUCAAGUCAAGGAUGCUUUUUUUUUUUAAUUAAAAAAAAAAAAAUCUAUAUUUCAAAACACAGGAAAAACCCCACACCUCCUCCCCCUCAAAAAAAACCCAAAACAAUCCCCAAAACCCCAACAAACCUUGAACUGUGGCAGAAACCUGUCAGGGAAUCAGUUGCACUGACUUUUUGAUUAUUUUAACACCAGAAGAUCUUUUGCAGAUUAACUUAAGAUCCCACUAUUCCAAAUUGCCUUUUUUUUUUAAAAAAAAAAAUACUUCUGAAUUGUUACAAAAUAACAUAUUUUAUGUUACAAAUAAGAAAGCAUAUCAAUGUAAAAAAAGGGUAAGACCCCCUCCUCAAAAGUCUGAGCAAUUAUUUGCAAGACACUUUUUCAGUAAUGAGGUAUACCUUUUCACUCAAAAACACGGUAUCAUGAAAGGUAUUAGUAGUCACUUCAGUGAUUACACGCUGUUCAUGAAAAUGGACUGAAGGGUCAUCAACAAGAUGCCUUUUCAAGGGACUGUAGAGAAUACUGUAAUUUUUUAUGAAGUUCUCUGAAAUGAAAUUGAUACAUAAUAAAGUUAUUUCAGUUUCACAAAUAUGUGAUUUUGACAGUUUUUACUUUGGAAUUCAGAAGAACUUACAGAGAAAAUACAAAUUCAAACCUGGUUUCACA
rnacentral:lncRNA from 1 species